rnacentral:rRNA from 1 species
AAACGUAGGAGGCGAGCGUUAUCCGGAUUUACUGGGCGUAAAGCGCACGCAGGCGGCUUGGUGAGUCGGACGUGAAAGCUCCUGGCUUAACUGGGAGAGGUCGUUCGAUACUGCUGGGCUUGAGGUUGGGAGAGGGGUGCGGAAUUCCCGGUGUAGUGGUGGAAUGCGUAGAUAUCGGGAGGAACACCAGUGGCGUAAGCGGCACUCUGGCCCACACCUGACGCUGAGGUGCGAAAGCGUGGGAAGCAAACAGGAUUAGAUACCCUGGUAGUCCACGCCGUAAACGAUGUCAACUGGGUGUUGGUAGUGUUACACUAUCAGUGCCGUAGCAAACGCGUUAAGUUGACCGCCUGGGGACUACGAGCGCAAGCUUAAA